GCAGAAACUACUACACUUGGCACCACUUCUGUUGAAUCUUCCACUCUGGGUACCACUUCUGCAGAGACUACUACCUUUGGAACCACUUCUGCAAGACCCUCUUCUAGACAAACUACUCCCCUAAGCAAAAUUUCUGCAGAAACACUACCUUUGGUACCACUUAUGUAGAAACUACUACCCUUGAAACCACUUCUGCAGAAACUACUACCAUUGGCACCAGUUCUGUAGAAAGUAGUACCCAUGGCACCACCUCUGUAGAAACUACUAUCCUGGGCACUACUUCUACAGGAACCACUUCAGAAGAAACUACCAUCUUUGGAGACACUUCUGUUGAAACUACUACCCUGGAAUUCACUUCUACAGAAACUACUGCCUUUGAAACAACUUCUGUAGAAACUAUUAGCCUGGAUACAACUUCUGCUGAAA
ensembl:lncRNA